CCCCCGCACGUGCAGACCCGGGCGGGCUCCUCCCGCGUCCCGGCCGCGGUGCCUCCCGGAGCACAUCCCCUCCUGGUCACCCCCAAGAUCCAUAGGGACGCCGCCGACGACUUUUAAAUAAGCGAAAGAAAUGCAUCCCUCCACUUUUUCCGGGAAGCCUUUCCUUAAAUUUAGCUGGUAAAGGCAGUUGCGAAUUUUUGUCUUUUUAUAAGCACAAUAUGCGAUUUUUCCUUUGAAAAGAAGCCUCACUCAGAAUGUCUACUUUGGAAUGAACAGGGCGCUUUUAGAAUGUUUCGAGGAAGAAAGGAGAACUCACGUGAUCCAUGAGCGUCCUUAUGCCUGUUUCCAGCUACUUUGCUAAAAUAUCUGCUUGUGGGCCCUGCUAGAUCGUUUUCGAAAGAAAAUGGGCAUCCCCCACCUUACCGCCCCCACCUAGGCCUCCCGGUGACACUGCUGUGGCUUAAAACCCUGUGCCCUGCGUCUGUAUGGGUCUGUAUGGUGGGUUUCUUUGCAAGACUUAACCCCGUGGAGCCAGCACUGUCCUGCGAAGCCUUCUUGUCUGCAAAUCGUGUCCUAUUAAGUCAACAGAACUUAGAUGCCAGAAAAGCCCAACGGAGGGGGAAAAAAAGAAAAUUACCUUUAUGGAGGAACAGAAAUGACCGGGGUGCUUAUAAAACCAUGAUCCAUACCAUUAUUCAAUGGCCCCUGUUAAGAAGACUCGAGACAUUUCAGACCUAUGAGGAAAAGCUUUCUUUCUUCCAAGGAACUGGGACGCCUGGGUGGCUCAGCGGUUGAGCACCUGCCUUCAGCCCAGGGCGUCAUCCUGGA